CAUGAAGCUGGAGUUACUAGUAAUCGCAGAUCAGAAUGCUGCGGUGAAUGCGUUCCCGGGUCUUGUACACACCGCCCGUCACACCACGGAAGUUGGGGGCGCCCGAAGCCACUUAGCUAACCCUUUUGGGAAGCGAGUGUCGAAGGUGAAAUCAAUAACUGGGGUGAAGUCGUAACAAGGUACC
rnacentral:rRNA from 1 species